rnacentral:rRNA from 1 species
UACGGGGGGAGCAAGCGUUGUUCGGAUUUACUGGGCGUAAAGGGCGCGUAGGCGGCCACCGCAGGCCAAUUGGGAAAUCUCCGGGCUUAACUCGGAAAGGUCAACUGAUACUGCGGGGCUAGAGUGCGGAAGGGGCAACUGGAAUUCUCGGUGUAGCGGUGAAAUGCGUAGAUAUCGAGAGGAACACCUGCGGCGAAGGCGGGUUGCUGGGCCGACACUGACGCUGAUGCGCGAAAGCCAGGGGAGCGAACGGG